rnacentral:rRNA from 1 species
UCGGGAAUUUUGGGCAAUGGGCGAAAGCCUGACCCAGCAACGCCGCGUGAAGGAUGAAGUAUUUCGGUAUGUAAACUUCGAAAGAAUAGGAAGAAUAAAUGACGGUACUAUUUAUAAGCUCCGGCUAACUACGUGCCAGCAGCCGCGGUAAUACGUAGGGAGCAAGCGUUGUUCUGAAUCACUGGGCGUAAAGCGCACGUAGGCGGAUUUGUAAGUCAGGGGUGAAAUCCCGGGGCUCAACCUCGGAACUGCCUUUGAUACUGCGGAUCUCGAGUCCGAUAGAGGUGAGUGGAAUUCCUAGUGUAGAGGUGAAAUUCGUAGAUAUUAGGAAGAACACCGGUGGCGAAGGCGGCUCACUGGAUCGGUACUGACGCUGAGGUGCGAAAGCGUGGGGAGCAAACAGGAUUAGAUACCCAAGUAGUCCCUGAGCGGGCUGGCAAGGCGCAU